GCGGUUGUGGCGGAAUUGGUAGACGCGCAACGUUGAGGUCGUUGUCCUGUAAAAGGGGUGGAGGUUCAACUCCUCUCAGCCGCACCA
rnacentral:tRNA from 1 species